GGCGUGUGAAUGCUAGCGUAUGUGACUACAAAGAUGUAGGCAGCAGCCCCGUUGUGGAACUAACCAAAGACCCUAGCUCGGGCAUAGAUGCUGAUGGUGCCGGGAUGUGGUCGUAGAGAGAAGUAUCGCAUCUGUUGUGUUCCUCAAAGCGGCAGCUGAGCUCAAAAUAAAGAUAGGUUAUUGUC